rnacentral:rRNA from 1 species
UACGUAGGGUGCGAGCGUUGUCCGGAAUUAUUGGGCGUAAAGGGCUCGUAGGCGGUUUGUCACGUCAGGGGUGAAAACUCGGGGCUCAACCCCGAGCCUGCUUCUGAUACGGGCAGACUAGAGGUAUGCAGGGGAGAACGGAAUUCCUGGUGUAGCGGUGAAAUGCGCAGAUAUCAGGAGGAACACCGGUGGCGAAGGCGGUUCUCUGGGCAUUACCUGACGCUGAGGAGCGAAAGUGUGGGGAGCGAACAGG